UGCAGCCUUGAUGGAUGAAAUUCGUG
rnacentral:piRNA from 1 species